rnacentral:rRNA from 1 species
UACGUAGGGGGCUAGCGUUGUCCGGAUUUAUUGGGCGUAAAGAGCGUGUAGGCGGCCAGGUAGGUCUGGUGUGAAAACUCGAGGCUUAACCUCGAGAUGUCAUCGGAAACCAUCUGGCUAGAGUCCGGAAGAGGAGAGUGGAAUUCCUGGUGUAGCGGUGAAAUGCGCAGAUAUCAGGAAGAACACCCGUGGCGAAGGCGGCUCUCUGGGACGGUACUGACGCUGAUGCGCGAAAGCGUGGGUAGCAAACAGG